rnacentral:rRNA from 1 species
AGAGUUUGAUCCUGGCUCAGAAUCAACGCUGGCGGCGUGCCUAACACAUGCAAGUCGAACGCGAAAGGGGCUUCGGCCCUGAGUAGAGUGGCGAACGGGUGAGUAACACGUGGGUGAUCUACCUCGAAGUGGGGGAUAACGUUCCGAAAGGAGCGCUAAUACCGCAUGACGUUCUGGGUUUGAAGACCUGGAGACCAAAGCUGGGGACCGCAAGGCUGGCGCUUGGAGAGGAGCCCGCGCCUGAUUAGCUAGUUGGCGGGGUAAUGGCCCACCAAGGCGACGAUCAGUAGCCGGCCUGAGAGGGCGGACGGCCACACUGGGACUGAGACACGGCCCAGACUCCUACGGGAGGCAGCAGUGGGGAAUUGUUCGCAAUGGGCGCAAGCCUGACGACGCAACGCCGCGUGGAGGAUGAAGGCCUUCGGGUCGUAAACUCCUGUUGAUCGGGAAGAAUGUGCUCGGGGCUAAUCACCGGAGCAGUGACGGUACCGAUUGAGGAAGCCACGGCUAACUCUGUGCCAGCAGCCGCGGUAAUACAGAGGUGGCAAGCGUUGUUCGGAAUUACUGGGCGUAAAGGGCGCGUAGGUGGCCUUGUCAGUCCGACGUGAAAUCCCCAGGCUUAACCUGGGAACUGCGUCGGAUACUACGAGGCUGGAGUGCGGGAGAGGGAUGUGGAAUUCCAGGUGUAGCGGUGAAAUGCGUAGAUAUCUGGAGGAACACCGGUGGCGAAGGCGGCAUCCUGGACCGACACUGACGCUGAGGCGCGAAAGCUAGGGGAGCAAACGGGAUUAGAUACCCUAGUAGUCC